rnacentral:lncRNA from 13 species
ACCAGUUCAUUGCAAAUUAGAAGGGUAAAAAAAUAAGGAAAAAAACACCUACCCUGGAGAUUCGUUUUAUUGCUUGUGUCAUGACACGGCCACUCAGAAGUUUCUCAAACGUGUUUUAGGGUUGGGGGGGUUGGCUUAGUUCUAGUUCCUCUGCCUUUGGCUAUUGGCAGGCCUUUUAUGUUCUUGGAGGAUGUGAGGGAAAUUUAAAUGGAGCUAGAUAGAUCUCAGCGGCUGGUUAGUGUAUUGACUGCAGGUUUCUCAUUUGGGAUGUGCUGUGCUUCGGUGGAAUUUUACGCUAAUUGUCGUGGCAUACUUCCACCUUAAUCGAUGCAUAUUGAUGAUGACCUCCUGUGGUACGACCUCGGGUUCAUUCAGUUCCAUUCAAAAGGGCCAAGAGUGAACUGAACAUGACAGAACAUCCCAAUUUCCUCAGCAAACAAACAAAGGGUGGGGUGGCCAGUCAUCUCAUUAACCCUCAGUAUAUGGAGAAGAAUGCGGUGACAACUCCAAGCCCGAGUCAUUCAUGAGCUGACACUGAGGGCCCAGGAGAACUGGCCCUUCUAGGAGGUAAAGCAAUAUCCCAGAAGAACAUGACAUCAUCACACCGUUUGCAUGCAACAUAAAAAAAAAGAGGUUUCAUUAAGGUUCACCUAGGUCGCGAGACAUAAGAAGGCCGGGUUCAUCAGUCAGUCAGGUUUUCUCUGGGAUACAGGUGGGGCUAGUGUACAUACUACAGUACAUACUCAUAACAUAUGAUAAAUAUGAAGAAAUUAAGAGGCAAUUGUUUUAAAAUGUGCCCAACCAUGCCCACGUCAUUUGCAAUCCCCCCAAAAUUAUCACAGUGAUAUAAUGAGUAUUGGUCAGUGCCUGUUUCGGCUACUUUUGGACAACGCAACACAAUCACAAUAAAUAGUCUCCCCAUCACUUGUGCUAUGCUCACCAGGUUAGUAGUCUCUGAGGUAAAAUGUUGUGUCUGCUUUGACACUGUGUGUGCUGGUGUGUGCAACGUGGUCUCAGGG